GGAAUUGCAGGGACUCCUUCAGCAUCUGAUGACUCGGGUGUUCUUUGUAAUAUGUCCAAACUGCCAUUAAUUAGAUGGUUUAGAAGAUUAAAGGAACAUGAUGAAAUACGUACUAUUUCACUUUUGAAAAGUGUAUAAAGAGAAUAAAUACUUAGGCUAACUUGUUUUAUAUCCGUGUGUAGCGGUGAUUCUUGAAUUUUGAAUGUCUCAUUACUUGCAGGCACGAGUUGCUCGAGGAAGCGCGGAGACAAGGCUUGCCUUUCGCACAGUGGGACGGGCCCACUGUUGUGGUCUGGCUGGAGCUCUGGGUCGGGAUGCCGGCCUGGUACGUGGCUGCUUGCCGAGCCAAUGUGAAGAGCGGCGCCAUCAUGUCUGCCCUGUCGGACACGGAGAUCCAGCGGGAGAUCGGCAUCAGCAACCCGCUGCACCGGCUGAAGCUGCGGCUGGCCAUCCAGGAGAUCAUGUCUCUGACCAGCCCCUCCGCCCCGCCCACGUCCAGAACGGUAUGCCCGCUCCUCCCGUGUCGCUCCCGGGGUUCUCUCUACAGACGUCCGCUGUUCCAGCUUAAAGUUCUGUCAUUCAGAACCACGACAGCUUUUCAUUUGCGGCAGUCGUGUUGUUAAAAGAUGGAUUAUUGAAUACUUCAGACGGAUUGUUUUUGUAACAGCUGGGCUGCAGUGGCUUUGUAAUAGAGAAAUGGGAGUUUUUGAAAACAUAAAAAGGGGAGUUUUUGAAGAUGUGGAAAUUGUAAAAAAGGAAGUUUUUGAAAAUGUAUUUUAAAAAAUGUAAAUAUAAAUGUCAAGAAAGUGAAAGAGAAAAGCCUGAGCCUGCAGGCUGCCUUGUUAACCCCUCAUCUGACUUGUCCGGCCUGUCCGGGAGCUUCAGGCCCUGGGCUCUCAGGGUUUUGAGAGUCCGUAAAUCUGCUGGUUCACACCAAGUUGCAUCAUGCUCAUCCACGUUUCCUCCACGUGGGAAGACCUUGAAAAUCCUGUAAGAGGGCCCUCCUGGUUGGAAACGUUAAAACGAAUCUGGUGGAAACAAGGAUUGUUGCCAGGAGAUCAGGGCUGGCCAGCUCCUCGUUUCUCGAGUGCAGACUCAGGACACAGCUCAGUCCCCACGCUCGGUGUGUCCACCCUGGAGAGGAGCCCUGGCGAGGAGACGCGGCCUCCCAGAUGUACCUGCCCUGAGGAGCAGGGGGAGCCUGACUCAGGCUCACGGUUAGUUUCCACGGACAGUGUGAAGGCUUUCUCGUCCAUCUGUUUUCCUUGUUUCUGAGUGUGAGCGUGAUGGUGAUGAGCUCACCCUGCGCAGAUGCGCGUGUGCUCCGCGUAUCUGCUCUACGCUCUGUGCCCCAGAGGGUUCACCAGAGGCAGCUUCUUAGAAACAAAGGCGCUGAGGGUCUCCGGAGGUUCUAUAAAGUAUCCCAGUAAAGGGAACUUCUUAGGAGUUGAGUUUAAUGGGUGAUGGCCUCACUGUAAGGAGCCUGCCCCCCAUGGGGUGGGGUACAGCAGCCCCCCAGGAGCCCGCCCAGGGGCUCGGCUGUCUCGGCCGGUGAUGCCAUGGGGUGCCGUUGCUGGGCCCCCCGCAGCUUCUUCUGACAGAGAGAGAGCCAGUCCCUGGCGGGCGCCUGCUCAGGGUCAUCCCCCCAGAACCCAAAGCUGGCUGCUGAGCUUUGUCUGGGUGAGGCCCUUUUAAACACGUCGUGUGAGUAGCUUCUUGAGAAUCCCUCGCUGCUCAGACGGGCACAGUGUGCUCUGCUCUCUCGNNNNNNNNNNNNNNNNNNNNNNNNNNNNNNNNNNNNNNNNNNNNNNNNNNNNNNNNNNNNNNNNNNNNNNNNNNNNNCAUGCAUCCGUCCACUCACUAAUUCAUCCAUCCACCCACCCAUCCACUCACUAAUUCAUCCAUCCAUCCACCCAUCCACUCACUAAUUCAUCCAUCCAUCCACCCAUCCAUCCAUCCACCUGUCCAUACAGUCAGCCAGUCAUCUGUCCAUCCGUCUACUCACUAAUCCAUUCAUCCACCCAUCCAUCUAUCCUCCAUCUAUCAAUCCAUCCAUCUAUCCAAUCACCCAUCUGUCCAUGCAUCCAUCCAUCCACCCACUCAUCCACCCACCCGUCCACUCAUUUACCAUCCAUCCAUCCACCCAUCCACUCAUUUAUCCACCCAUCCAUCCAUCCAUCCAUC
ensembl:lncRNA